UGGCUCAGAACGAACGCUGGCGGCGCGUUUAAGCAUGCAAGUCGAGCGGCAAGGGCCUUCGGGCCCCUAGAGCGGCGGACGGGUGAGUAACACGUGGACAAUCUGCCCCCCGGCCCGGGAUAGCCCAGGGAAACCUGGAUUAAUACCGGAUGAGACGGGACCCGCGAUGGCGGGAUCCGGGAAAGGCGCUGCGGCGCCGCCGGGGGAUGAGUCUGCGUCCCAUUAGCUAGACGGCGGGGUAACGGCCCACCGUGGCGACGAUGGGUAGCCGGCCUGAGAGGGUGGACGGCCACAUUGGAACUGAGACACGGUCCAGACUCCUACGGGAGGCAGCAGCUAAGAAUCUUCCGCAAUGGGCGAAAGCCUGACGGAGCGACGCCGCGUGAACGAAGAAGGCCGUGAGGUUGUAAAGUUCUUUUCGGGAGGGGGAACAACCGUGGCAGGGAAUGGCCGCGGGAUGACGUGAAUCCCGGAAUAAGCCCCGGCUAACUACGUGCCAGCAGCUGC
rnacentral:rRNA from 1 species